GAUGAACGCUGGCGGCGUGCCUAAUACAUGCAAGUCGAACGCUGGAGAUCUAGCUUGCUAGAUCGAAGGAGUGGCGAACGGGUGAGUAAUACAUAAGCAACCUACCCACGAAGACUGGGAUAAUCUCUGGAAACGGGGACUAAUACCGGAUAGGUAAUCGGAAGGCAUCUUCUGGUUAUUAAAGGUUAAAAACACUGGUGGAUGGGCUUAUGGCGCAUUAGUUAGUUGGUGAGGUAACGGCCCACCAAGACGAUGAUGCGUAGCCGGCCUGAGAGGGUGAACGGCCAGAUUGGGACUGAGACACGGCCCAGACUCCUACGGGAGGCAGCAGUAGGGAAUUUUCGGCAAUGGGGGCAACCCUGACCGAGCAACGCCGCGUGAGUGAAGACGGCCUUCGGGUUGUAAAGCUCUGUUGUAAGGGAAGAACGGUAGAUAGAGAAUAUCUAAGUGACGGUACCUUACCAGAAAGCCACGGCUAACUACGUG
rnacentral:rRNA from 1 species